rnacentral:rRNA from 1 species
UACGUAGGGACCAAGCGUUGUUCGGAUUUACUGGGCGUAAAGGGCGCGUAGGCGGCUUAACAAGUCACUUGUGAAAUCUCCGGGCUUAACUCGGAACGGUCAAGUGAUACUGUCGGACUAGAGUACAGAAGGGGCAACUGGAAUUCUCGGUGUAGCGGUGAAAUGCGUAGAUAUCGAGAGGAACACCUGCGGCGAAGGCGGGUUGCUGGGCUGAUACUGACGCUGAGGUGCGAAAGCGUGGGGAGCAAACAGG